AUCCUAACCUGGCAGGGAAGAUACCAUGAUAAUGGAGAUUAUUUUCCCAGUGUGAGGCUCACACUUUGCAUUCCAGAGGGUGCGACUCCUGCAAUUUCCCCAACUGCAAAUACUAUGCAGUUGAGGAAACUCAACUGCAUAGUUUGUGGUAGGGGAGGACUGUGUUUGCACUCAACCCUG
rnacentral:snRNA from 1 species